rnacentral:lncRNA from 1 species
UGGAAGCUUUCUUCCACGGUUUUAAAUAGAGACAGAACUUGCCCUGUGGCCCACGUUGGAGUCCGCUGGCAUGAUCGUGAUCCACUGCAGCCUCAACUUCUUUGGGUUCAAAUGAACUUCCCACCUUAGCCACCUGAGCAUCUCGCCUAUCUGGACUCCACCUAUCCUCCCCUGUCAGCAUCUCACAGCAUAGGCAUGGGCCACCAGAACCAGCUUAUUUUUGUAUUUUUUUAAGCAGAAGAGAUCUUACCAUGUUGUGAAGACUGGUCUCGUACUUCUGGCUGAAGUGAUUUGUUCUCCUAAGCCUUCCAAAUUGGUGGGAUUACAUAUGUGAACCACCACACAAAGACUCCUACUGGUAUAUUUAGAAGGAUAUAAGUAUGCCGGUUUUUGGAUGCAUGCAUGGAGAAGACCCCAAAGCUUUUCACUUUUCCCUGAGUUUGGGCUAAACACUAGAGUUCCUCAAAGAGUCCAUAUCCAAAGUCUGGGCAGUUUUUCUUUU